AUUCGUCGUGCACAGCAACUGGCUGUUCUGCGGUACGCCCGUGGACCUUAUCAGCCGGUCUCUUCGCCGCCAACAUACGACGUUGGAAUUCCGCAAGGUGUGUUCAACAGCCCAACUUGUCGCAUCCAUUUCAUUUGCAUGGAUACGGGUUUAGUGUCAUUGGAAUUGGUCGAUCCCCGGAUUCGGCAGUGAAGAAGAUAAAUUUAAAGCACGCAUUGGACCUGGACCGCCGCGGACUUUUACACCGGCAGUACAAUUUGCCACCGACAAAGGAUACAAUUGCCGUACCGAACAACGGCUAUGUUGUGCUACGUUUUAGAGCCGACAAUCCUGAUUCUUAACCCUUUGGAUGCUAUUUGUGAUCGUAAACGGCCGGAUGCAGUUUGUGUUUCGAAUUUAAAGAAUGCAAAAAAAGUCGACAAGGGCGUUUUGGUAGAACGCCCAGAUGUAAAAAUAUUUUUGCCUUUCAGAUUUUAUGUGUAUGAACCAAAAACUCUAUUUAUACCAAAUACCUACAACCGAUUUUUAGUCGCUUCAGACGCUGAUCACCUUAUAUCACUUAUUGAUGAGGUGUCGUACAUUUCUCCACCUUCCCCGAUGCUGUCGCAGUAUAAUGAUAUACCUCAAGAAUACUACUGUAAUGGGGACAAUCGACCAGUAGAUUGUGGCGAAAACUGUCAGUGUACUCAUAAAAUCGAUAUACCUCUACACGCAAUAGUCGAGGUCGUGCUUGUGGAUGAAGUUCAACAGAUUAAUAUAAGCCAUCCAUUUCAUUUGCACGGUACGUCUUUUUACGUAGUAGGACUUGGACGCUCCCCGGAAACACACAACAAACGUAUGAGCUUAAAACAUGCCCUGGACCUUGACCAACGCGGCUUGCUUGAAAGGCAAUACCUGAACCCUGCUCUGAAGGAUACUGUUGCUGUACCAAACAAUGGAUAUGCUAUUUUACGCUUUCGCGCAGAUAAUCCUGGAUUUUGGCUUUUUCAUUGUCAUUUUCAAUACCAUAUUGUUAUAGGCAUGAAUUUGGUGUUUCAAAUAGGUACUCCUAAUGAUCUUCCUCCUGUACCACCUAAUUUUCCACGUUGCGGAAACCAUGUACCCCCCAUAUUGACGGAGAGCCUAUUUAACAUUGAUAACAUACAAGAAAGAUCGGAGACCAGAUAAUGUAGUAAAAUAUAAACAAUAGGCGAUACGUCUGAAGGUUGGGACACAUAAGGUAACUUUAGAAAAUUUUAACUUUAAGUGACCAAAUGGCAACUUCCAAAAUCUUCCAAUCUUUAACUUGUACAUUUGAAAGUCAAUAAAACUUACCCCUAAGAUUCUCAAAACUUAAAAAAUAUUUUUUUUUUAUUAAUUUGAUCAAUUUUAGUUGGUGUACAAUUGCAAAUUAAACUAACAUGCUAUUUAAACGCACAUAUUUCCCUGUAAAUUUAAAGAAAUUUAUCUCUUCCAAAGCGUCCUCUGUCGGCUUAAGUUUUUCUGUAUGAAAAGCGGGUGUACCAACUUAUACGCUCAAAGUGAUCUAGCUUACCACAAAAUAGGAGUUUAAAAAAAAAGUAUAAUGUUUUUGAUAAAUCAAUCAUUUGAUCAGUCAAUUUAUUACUAUGGAUAUUUUUAAGAACUUACCAUCUUAUAUAUAAUACCUUUAUCCAAUAAUUUAGCAUGUUAUCGACUUUUUAUAGAAUUAAGAACAAGAAAAAUGCUAUACUCGAUGCCAUCGACUAUCAAGUACCCGUUACAAAGCUAAAAAGAGUGUGAUGGAGAAAAUAGUUUGUGUCUAACCGAUGUAAGGUCUAUGAUCGCGUCGCGGCAAAGCAACGAGAGUUACUGUGAUAUGGGAAUACGGGCGAUAUGAGAAGUGCGCUCGGGGUGAGCUAACGAGGGUUAACUACUAGUUGAGAUAUUUUAACAGUUCGAGCCCGAGGACAAGUCGACUUGAUUCGCAAGGUAAGUCAGAGAGUUGUCGAGUCAACCGUUCACUUUAUGUAUAAUAAUAUGCUGAUCAGCAAUUCUCAUAUGCAGUGGGUGCAACUAGUCGCCUGGUUCUGGUCCCAACUUGGGUACUGCUUGAUUUGUGGGGUGUCGGUUACGAUCAACUACUGUCAUAGUUUAAACCUGACUUGAGCCUGGCCUUAAAUUCUUUUACUAAAAGUUUACUAACUAAAAAAAUGGCACUCAUUUUCGGUCGAAAAUAUCUGAAAAAGUGUCCCAACUUACACACCUCUUUUAAUUUAGGAAUCAUAUUCGAUUUUAAUCAAAUCUCAAAACAGUUUAUGACUGUUUAUAGUAUAUAAGACCUUUCGUAAGUUUUACCACACAGAAGUUAUCCCGUCUCGAUUCACCUAUCAAUAUUUUACCACUAAUUUCUUUUAUAUGUUAACUCAUUUUGAAUUUAAGUAAAAAAAAAUAAGAAUGUAUAUUUUAUAUUUGUAAUAAAUAGUCUAUUGAAACAUUAAAUUUAUCGCAACUCUAAAAGAAUUUUAUAUUGUGGUAGUGAACUGAGUAUAGUGAACUUUUGAAGCAAAGCUGAAACCUUUAAUAAUUUUUCAUCUAUCGUUUUUUUUUCUGUAGAUAUAAGCAUAAAAGGUGCAUCAAAUAAAUUAUCUUUUGUUGGUGAGUUUCUUGAUUAAAGGAUCAUUCUUUUCUUUAAUAUGAUAAAAGUUAAGUUAAAAUGUUAAGAUGACCGCUUUAAAAUUGGAGUACGCUUGAAAUAUUCACUCAUUUGGCACACGGGUUCGCCAUACGAGAGUUAGUCGUAGACUUAUUGGUAAACAGAAGAAUUUACAGCGCUGUUACGUGUUAUUCAGCAAUUUAAUGUUUACAUUAACCAAAUCAGAGUUGGAUAACUGAAAUUGCUAUUACGUUUAUUGGAGAGAAAGAGAGAGGGAAAAAAACGAUAAAUUGCUUAAAUUUUUAAUUAUUUAAUAUACUCGUUAUAAGUCAGUGCUCUCUCCUAGCACCGGCAGCGCUUUUCGCUUUGCCGCGCACUUCGGUCUGCAACUAUUUACACACACACAUCCAUAAAAACAUUUGAUAUUGUACGGUUCUGACGUCAUUGCGUUUCUUCUUGAGAGGUUUGUAGGUGUUAAAUUUGUUUUUCUAGCAUCAUAAUUGUUGGCGCCACAGUUUUGCGAGGUUUCUGGGCGUGAGAGUAGGCGAAGCACAUAAGCGUAUCGAACUUGCUAUGAGUACGAAACUAAAGAAUCUACAUCUAAAGUACCAACCAUGUAUCCUUAAUAGUAUCCGGGACACCAGCGUUCAAAUGGACGGUUUUUUAAGUUUGUGGGCGGCUUGUAGGCGUGGCAAUAUUUUUUUUGGGUCAAUCGAUGGGUAUUGACGAGAACAAUACAUUUCAUUUAAAAUUUGUUCUAAACAAUACUUGUAGGGUACAAUACACGCACGCACGCAUAAAGGUUUUGGCUGUACGUUGUUUAUUGUUCGCAUGUAUAUAACGUAAAUAGCGGCAGAAUUCCAAAAUUUACUGGCCAGCCUCUCUUUAAUGCACGUCUGCCAUUUCGCUCGCACGAUCUGCGCCGCGGCGACUGAACAUCUGGCAAAAAUCAGUGUGAGCGACGAGACGACGGAAAGUACAACUUACGAAGUCGGACCGUACAGCUGAAGGUUUGCGACACUGGUUUUGCUAGGAAUUUUGCACAGAGCAAAGCCGUUAAGAAAUUCAGUAGCAAACUAGCACCAGUUUUUAUAAAAUCAAAGGUAAUCAAGAAAGUUAGCCCGGCAUACUAUGAACUAGCAACCGAGAAAGGCAAAUCGAUAGGUAUAUACCAUCUUAAAGGUAUUCAAAUUGGCAAAUAGACAAGUCGUCAUUUAAGCUAACAGCUUUUUGGGAUUUGAUUCUCCAUCUGUUAACUGUGGGUGUAAAGUACAAUACACGCACGUAUAAGGGUUAAGUUUUUGGCUGUACGUUGUUUCUUGUUCGCAUGUAUAUAACGUAAAUAGCGGCAGAAUUCCCGAAUUUACUGGCCAGCCUCUCUUUACUGCACGUCUGCCAUCUCGCUCGCACGAUCUGCGCCGCGGCAACUGAACAUCUGGCGAAAAUCAGUGUGAGCGACGAGAUGACGGUAAAUAUCACGCCAUAACGCCGUUAUUUUCCGUCUCUGCGUUCACUUGAGUUUCUCUCGCUGAGGCCAAGAGACGUGUGCCAAACACCGUAGUCAAGUUAUAAUUGGAACCAAGUCCGCGUGUAAACUGACUGACAAACGGUACCAAAGUGCGACGAGGUCCAACGACAUCCUGUACAGUGUUAGCAAAAAUGAACAGUGCGAAACCAUAGUCUGAGAACCCACCCCCCGCAAUCGAUCUUUCAACCGGCGCUAAGUUCCUGCCACACGGUGUAUUCUGGCGCUAAUAUCGUCAAACGAUUGCAGAGCGGGGGUGGCUCUUAGGACCGUGGUCGGUUGCCGGCAAUUUUCUGCCGAAUUUUCUUCGAAUUGGCCAUGAAGGUAGCCAUGUGUAGCUGGGUGUACCCCGCUACCUAAACAAAACUAGGGCACGAGGCCUAAAUAACAGAAGACAUCGGCCGCACAGCUGCUGUAUGCUCAGCGGCGGUAACCUUUCGUUGUUUUUAGUUCUCCUUUUUCUAUUCGCUGUAUUUAAAUAGUUUUGCAUAAAUGUACUUGUACAAGA